CUCCCACCUCCAACAACUCUCAUCAGAAAUAGAAUUUGUUUUCUUUCUCUCUGGGCAUUCAUGACUUCCUAGAAGCCGAAUGGACUUCCCCUCCCCCGCAGCAAGGAACACACUGAAAAGAGGAAAUCUUCAGCAGCAGGGCCAGGGAGAGGGGAAGAUGGGUGGCCGGCUCCAGUGCAGGCAUCGGCACCCUGGGCUCGGAUGAGCAGAGCUUCUUCCCCCAAGCUCGCCGAGGGCCCAGGGGAAGAUGGUGCCGCCGUGUCUCCGCGUGCACGUGUGUAAUUUAUUUUCCUGCAUGGUUGCAGGGAGGUGGCUGAGGUUUCAGAAGCUGUACCUGACAGAUAAUUACACGAAGACAAAUUGUGCACUGCCGUACCCUUCUCCCAGUAUGGCAACCUCCAGACUGCCACAUGCUGAGAAACUACAGGCACUCUGUCGGAUGAUGGAUACUGAAAUAAAUGAUACGCGCUCUCUGCCUUUAAGUGACCUUCUUUGAGGAGGAAAGUGCUAAUGUGUCAUACACAAAAUCCUGUUAUCAAAGCAGAAGGCUAUAAAUGAGAUGAGAUCAGAGAUCACAGCUAACCCACGGGACUUCCCAGGAGGAAGAGAAGGUGAGUAAUGAGUCAGGCAACGCUUUCUGGAGGAGACAGCUUUUGGGGUUGGGCCCUGAAGAUAAGUAAAACUUAGAAAUGGGAAAGUGGAGGGACAUGGGAACUCCAGGCAGAGAAAAGAGCUUGGACCAAAGCACAGAGGGAGGAAAGGGCAGGGGCAUAUCACACACAAGGCAUAAUUCCAUUUAACUGUGUUGAAAUGUAGGGUAAGUGGAAGGGAGGGUUGAACCACGUGGGGUCGUCUCAUGGAGAAAUUUGAACUCACACAUUGGUGUGGAAGGCAGACAGGAGCGUGUUUAUGUCUAGGCCAAUAGCUCUUGUGGUGAAGCAAAAGCCUCCAAAGGACAGGGUGGCAUUUAAAACUCUGCAGAGCCCAGUGAUAAAGGGGUCAUGUCAUUAAAACUUAUCCUCCGGCUGGAGACGACUUAGAGGGGCUGGGGCUCUCAUUGCAGGAAGAGGCCUAAUACACAGGGUCAAGGUCCUGUGGCCUUGCUUGUGGCUGAGAGUAAGUGUAGGUCUUUGGAGCCUUCUGUAGUGCCCUAUACAGUUGUCCCAAAGAACCUGCUGGCCCUGUGCUGGGCUCU
rnacentral:lncRNA from 13 species